rnacentral:rRNA from 1 species
UACGUAGGGUCCAAGCGUUGUCCGGAUUUACUGGGUGUAAAGGGUGCGCAGGCGGGCUUGCGCGUCGAAGGUUAAAUACCUCGGCUUAACCGAGGAGCUGCCUUCGAUACGGCAAGUCUUGAAUGUGAGAGAGGAUGAUAGAAUUCCUGGUGUAGCGGUGAAAUGCGUAGAUAUCAGGAGGAAUACCGGUGGCGAAGGCGGUCAUCCGGCUCAUUAUUGACGCUCAGGCACGAAAGCGUGGGGAGCGAACAGG